rnacentral:rRNA from 1 species
CCUACGGGGAGCUGCAGUGAGGAAUAUUGGUCAAUGGGCGGGAGCCUGAACCAGCCAAGCCGCGUGAGGGAAGAAGGUACAGCGUAUUGUAAACCUCUUUUGUCAGGGAACAAAGGCGGGGACUAGUCCCCGGAUGAGGGUACCUGAAGAAUAAGCAUCGGCUAAUUCCGUGCCAGCAGCCGCGGUAAUACGGAGGAUGCGAGCGUUAUCCGGAUUUAUUGGGUUUAAAGGGUGCGCAGGCGGCCUGUUAAGUUAGCGGUAAAAGCCCGGGGCUCAACCCCGGCGAGCCGUGGAAACUGGCGGGCUGGAGUUGGAGAGAAGUACGCGGAAUGCGCGGUGUAGCGGUGAAAUGCUUAGAUAUCGCGCAGAACCCCGAUUGCGAAGGCAGCGUACCGGCUCCACACUGACGCUGAGGCACGAAAGCGUGGGUAUCGAACAGGAUUAGAUACCCCUGUAGUC